rnacentral:ncRNA from 1 species
UUGUUGUAUUAUUAAUUUAUCACAUGAAAAUUAUUUAUAAUAGGAGAUAUAAAGGUUAAUUUUAUAUUAAUUUUAUAGAAAAGUAUAAUUAACAUAAUAAUUAUUUAUACUCUCAGUGUAAGGAUUUAGUGAAUAUAUGGGAGUAUGAUCUAGUGAGUAAUAAGGUAUUAAAAUCUGAUAAAAUAUUUGUGCCAGCAUUCGCGGUUAGACUUUGAGGUUAAAUAAAGAGGCUAAAUAUAAGAGUUACUUGUAUAAAUAUAAAUAUUAUUUCCUAAUAUUAACAGGUGAAACUGUUGUUAUUUUGUAAAUUUAGAAUAUUUUUAAGGAAGCUAAUAAGCUUUAAAGAUAAACUAGGAUUAGAUACCCUAUUAUAUUAAAGUUGAAUGAAUAAAGAAUAUUGAAUUAUUAGUAGUUAUAGUUUAAAAUUUAAAGAAUUUGGCGGUAAUUUAGUCUUGUCAGAGGAACCUGUUUAAGUUUGAUCGAUACACCUCGUAAUAUCUUACUUGUUUUUAGUUUGUAUACCAUCAUUAUUAGGUAAUUUUUAAAAAAUAAAUUAUUAAAAUUAAGUUAUUAAGGAAAUUAGAUCAAGGUGCAGCUUAUAAAUAAGUUUAAAUGGGUUACAAUAAAUUUUAUUUAAAUGAAAUAGAUUAGUAAGUUGGAUUUAGGAAGGAGGAUUUGAUAGUAAUAUAAGUUUAAUAAGCUUAUAAGAUAAGAGCUCUAAAUUAUGUACAUAUUGCCCGUCGCUUUCAUUAAUUAAUGAGAUAAGUCGUAACAUAGUAGAUGUACUGGAAAGUGUAUCUAGAAUUA